AUUGAACGCUGGCGGCAUGCCUUACACAUGCAAGUCGAACGGCAGCACGGGAGCAAUCCUGGUGGCGAGUGGCGAACGGGUGAGUAAAGUAUCGGAACGUGCCCAGUCGUGGGGGAUAACGUAGCGAAAGUUACGCUAAUACCGCAUACGAUCUCUGGAUGAAAGCGGGGGAUCGCAAGACCUCGCGCGAUUGGAGCGGCCGAUAUCCGAUUAGGUAGUUGGUGGGGUAAAGGCUCACCAAGCCGACGAUCUGUAGCUGGGCUGAGAGGACGACCAGCCUCACUGGGACUGAGACACGGCCCAGACUCCUACGGGAGGCAGCAGUGGGGAAUUUUGGACAAUGGGCGCAAGCCUGAUCCAGCCAUGCCGCGUGCGGGAUGAAGGCCUUCGGGUUGUAAACUGCUUUUGUACGGAACGAAAAGGUUUGACUUAAUACGUUGGACUCAUGACGGUACCGUAAGAAUAAGCACCGGCUAACUACGUGCCAGCCGCCGCGGUAA
rnacentral:rRNA from 1 species